GACGAACCGUGCGAACGUUGUUCGGAAUCACUGGGCUUAAAGGGCGCGUAGGCGGGAGGCUAAGUCUGGGGUGAAAGCCCGCGGCUCAACCGCGGAAGUGCCUCGGAUACUGGCCCCCUCGAGGGAGGUAGGGGCGUGUGGAACUUCCGGUGGAGCGGUGAAAUGCGUAGAGAUCGGAAGGAACGCCGGUGGCGAAAGCGACACGCUGGACCUCUUCUGACGCUGACGGCGCGAAAGCCAGGGGAGCAAACGGG
rnacentral:rRNA from 1 species